UACAGACGGUCCAAACGUUAUUCGGAAUCACUGGGCUUAAAGAGUUCGUAGGCGGUCAGGAAAGUGGGGUGUGAAAGCCCUCGGCUUAACCGAGGAAUUGCGCUCCAAACUCCCUGACUUGAGGAGGCUAGAGGUAAGCGGAACUGAUGGUGGAGCGGUGAAGUGCGUUGAUGAUCAAUCAGGAACACCGGAGGCGAAGGCGGCUUACUGGGGCCUUUCUGACGCUGAGGAACGAAAGCUAGGGGAGCGAACGGG
rnacentral:rRNA from 1 species